rnacentral:rRNA from 1 species
GAUGAACGCUGGCGGCGUGCCUAAUACAUGCAAGUCGAGCGAACAGACGAGGAGCUUGCUCCUUCGACGUUAGCGGCGGACGGGUGAGUAACACGUAGGUAACCUACCUAUAAGACUGGGAUAACUUCGGGAAACCGGAGCUAAUACCGGAUAAUAUUUCGAACCGCAUGGUUCGAUAGUGAAAGAUGGCUUUGCUAUCACUUAUAGAUGGACCUGCGCCGUAUUAGCUAGUUGGUAAGGUAACGGAUUACCAAGGCAACGAUACGUAGCCGACCUGAGAGGGUGAUCGGACACACUGGAACUGAGACACGGUCCAGACUCCUACGGGAGGCAGCAGUAGGGAAUCUUCCGCAAUGGGAGGAAGCCUGACGGAGCAACGCCGCGUGAGUGAUGAAGGUCUUCGGAUCGUAAAACUCUGUUAUUAGGGAAGAACAAACGUGUAAGUAACUGUGCACGUCUUGACGGUACCUAAUCAGAAAGCCACGGCUAACUCCGUG